rnacentral:rRNA from 1 species
AACGAACGCUGGCGGCAGGCUUAACACAUGCAAGUCGAACGCCCCGCAAGGGGAGUGGCAGACGGGUGAGUAACGCGUGGGAACAUACCCUUUUCUACGGAAUAGCUCUGGGAAACUGGAAUUAAUACCGUAUACGCCCUACGGGGGAAAGAUUUAUCGGGGAAGGAUUGGCCCGCGUUGGAUUAGCUAGUUGGUGGGGUAAAGGCCUACCAAGGCGACGAUCCAUAGCUGGUCUGAGAGGAUGAUCAGCCACAUUGGGACUGCGACACGGCCCAAACUCCUACGGGAGGCAGCAGUGGGGAAUAUUGGACAAUGGGCGCAAGCCUGAUCCAGCCAUGCCGCGUGAGUGAUGAAGGCCUUAGGGUUGUAAAGCUCUUUCACCGAUGAAGAUAAUGACGGUAGUCGGAGAAGAAGCCCCGGCUAACUUCGUG